rnacentral:siRNA from 1 species
CAAAGCAACUUCGGAUCCUCC